GACGAACGCUGGCGGCGUGCUUAACACAUGCAAGUCGAACGGAAAGGCCCUGCUUUUGUGGGGUGCUCGAGUGGCGAACGGGUGAGUAACACGCGAGUAACCUGCCCUUGACUUUGGGAUAACUUCAGGAAACUGGGGCUAAUACCGGAUAGGAGCUCCUGCUGCAUGGUGGGGGUUGGAAAGUUUCGGCGGUUGGGGAUGGACUCGCGGCUUAUCAGCUUGUUGGUGGGGUAGUGGCUUACCAAGGCUUUGACGGGUAGCCGGCCUGAGAGGGUGACCGGCCACAUUGGGACUGAGAUACGGCCCAGACUCCUACGGGAGGCAGCAGUGGGGAAUAUUGCACAAUGGGCGGAAGCCUGAUGCAGCAACGCCGCGUGCGGGAUGACGGCCUUCGGGUUGUAAACCGCUUUCGCCUGUGACGAAGCGUGAGUGACGGUAAUGGGUAAAGAAGCACCGGCUAACUACGUG
rnacentral:rRNA from 1 species